rnacentral:rRNA from 1 species
UACGUAGGGGGCAAGCGUUGUCCGGAAUCAUUGGGCGUAAGGCGCGUGUAGGCGGCUCGGUAAGUCUGCUGUGAAAGUCCAGGGCUCAACCCUGGGAUGCCGGUGGAUACUGUCGAGCUCGAGUCCGGAAGAGGCGAGUGGAAUUCCUGGUGUAGCGGUGAAAUGCGCAGAUAUCAGGAGGAACACCAAUGGCGAAGGCAGCUCGCUGGGACGUGACUGACGCUGAGACGCGAAAGCGUGGGGAGCAAACAGG